rnacentral:rRNA from 1 species
CUACGGGCGGCACCAGUGAGGAAUAUUGGUCAAUGGACGCAAGUCUGAACCAGCCAAGUCGCGUGAAGGAAGACGGCCCUAUGGGUUGUAAACUUCUUUUGUAAGGGGAUAAAACAUCUCACGAGUGAGAUCUUGUAGGUACCUUACGAAUAAGGAUCGGCUAACUCCGUGCCAGCAGCCGCGGUAAUACGGAGGAUCCGAGCGUUAUCCGGAUUUAUUGGGUUUAAAGGGUGCGUAGGCGGUGGAUUAAGUCAGUGGUGAAAGUUUGCGGCUCAACCGUAAAAUUGCCAUUGAAACUGAUUCACUUGAGUACAAAUGAGGUAGGCGGAAUGUGUUGUGUAGCGGUGAAAUGCAUAGAUAUAACACAGAACACCGAUUGCGAAGGCAGCUUACUGGCAUGUAACUGACGCUGAGGCACGAAAGCGUGGGGAUCGAACAGGAUUAGAUACCCCGGUAGUC